CGGUUAAGCAUCUUCGGAUGUGUAUAAAGUGGCGAACGGCUGAGUAACACGUGGGCAACCUGCCCUUUGCACUGGGAUAGCCUCGGGAAACCGAGGUUAAUACCGGAUACUCCAUAUUUGUCGCAUGGCGAAUAUGGGAAAGCUCCGGCGGCAAAGGAUGGGCCCGCGGCCUGUUAGCUAGUUGGUGGGGUAGUGGCCUACCAAGGCAAUGAUGGGUAGCCGGGUUGAGAGACCGACCGGCCAGAUUGGGACUGAGACACGGCCCAGACUCCUACGGGAGGCAGCAGUGGGGAAUCUUGCACAAUGGGCGAAAGCCUGAUGCAGCGACGCCGCGUGCGGGAUGAAGGCCUUCGGGUUGUAAACCGCUUUCAGCAGGGACGAGGCCGCAAGGUGACGGUACCUGCAGAAGAAGCCCCGGCUAACUACGUGCCAGCAGCCGCGGUAAUACGUAGGGGGCAAGCGUUAUCCGGAUUCAUUGGGCGUAAAGCGCGCGUAGGCGGUCUGUUAGGUCAGGAGUUAAAUCUGGGGGCUCAACCCCUAUCCGCUCCUGAUACCGGCAGGCUUGAGUCUGGUAGGGGAAGAUGGAAUUCCAAGUGUAGCGGUGAAAUGCGCAGAUAUUUGGAAGAACACCGGUGGCGAAGGCGGUCUUCUGGGCCAUGACUGACGC
rnacentral:rRNA from 1 species